GACGAACGCUGGCGGCGUGCUUAACACAUGCAAGUCGAACGGAAAGGCCCUUCGGGGUACUCGAGUGGCGAACGGGUGAGUAACACGUGGGUGAUCUGCCCUGCACUUUGGGAUAAGCCUGGGAAACUGGGUCUAAUACCGGAUAGGACCACGGCAUUCAUUUGCUGUGGUGGAAAGCUUUUGCGGUGUGUGAUGGGCCCGCGGCCUAUCAGCUUGUUGGUGGGGUAAUGGCCUACCAAGGCGACGACGGGUAGCCGGCCUGAGAGGGUGACCGGCCACAAUGCGACUGAGAUACGGCCCAGACUCCUACGGGAGGCAGUAGUGGGGAAUAUUGCACAAUGGGCGCAAGCCUGAUGCAGCGACGCCGCGUGAGGGAUGACGGUCUUCGGGUUGUAAACAUCUUUCGCCAGGGACGAAGCGCAAGUGACGGUACCUGGAGAAGAAGGACCGGCCAACUACGUG
rnacentral:rRNA from 1 species